rnacentral:lncRNA from 1 species
AGUUGGCACUUGGCAUUUAUGAGGUGAAGACAAAGCUGGUUCAUGAGGCUUGUUUUCAAUUCUUUGUGAACCACAAGCCCUCACACUGCAAGAUCGUCAUGACAACCUGUCAGGAUGGGAGCCAGGCGAAAUCAGAGCUUAAUUCUAAAACUCCCCCGCCCCCAAACUGAGGAAGAAAAACCUCUGCAGGAGAUAUAGGGCAGCGCUCUCGCUUCGCUUCGCUGUCUUUGGGUAUGAGUGCUUCAAGAUCAUUGUCUGGCCAGCUGAGCCUCACCCUCACAGCAUGCUCUCUAGGCGAAGCCCAGCAAGGGCCUGACUCAGACCUGUUUCAGACUGAAGUAAAGUGGAUUCCAGAGGAGCUCUGAAAUAUAGCAGGAAAUAUAGAAACAUAUAUUGGGAUUUUUUUUUUCCUGGAAAACAAUCAGGCCCUGUCCUAAUGGGAUGCACAGAGGGUAACCAGGACGCACUACAUGAAGCUAAUGAAAUCCAAGUCAGAAAAGAGGCACAUGGAGAUGAUGAGGUUGGGAACCAGACUCGGCAUCUACCAUGCUUGGUAGGGCCCAGCACUCAAGCCUGUUUGAUGGGCGCUGUGGACUGUGUCUCCUCACCUCCAAAAUCCUUACACUGUGAAGCCCCCAUCCCCAGGGUGGCUGUAUUUGAAAUGGGGCCUCCUUUAUGGAUAAUACGGCUGGGUAUUAACUAAUCCUGUGAUAACUAAUAUUGACUUUUUUUUUUUCAACUUGAUGGGAUUUAGAGUCACUAUGGAAAUAAACCCCCUGAAGUCUGUAAGAGAUCAUCUACAUUAAGUUGAGAUGAGAAGUUGUAUCCUAAAUUUGGGUGGCACCACUCUAGGGGCUGGGGUCCUGGAUUGGAUUAAAAGGAGAGAGCACGGGCUGGAGAGAUGGGUCAGUGGUUAAGAGCACUGGCUGCUCUUCCAGAGGUCCUGAGUUCAAUUCCCAGCAAUCACAUGGUGGCUCACAACCGUCUGUAAUAGGAUCAGAUCACCUCUCCGGGUGUGUCUGAAGACAGCUACAGUGUAUUCGUAUGCAUAAAAUAAAUAAAUACAUCUUUUAAAAAGAAAGGGGGGAGCAAGCUGAAUGCCAGUAUUCAUCCCUGUCGGGUUCCUGGUUAUGGUUAUCGCCAGAUGCCUGAUGCUCCUGCUUUCAAACCAUGAGCCAAAGUUGACCCUUCCUCUCUCAAGUGGUUUCUGUCACAGUAAAGACACAAGUGACUCAUACAGGUGCCUUGCAUCCUCUGGGAUCUAUAAAGGACUUGAAAGGACAUGCUGGUGGUCAUCAAAUAAGAGCAAGCCUGUCUCUUCAUCUGUUGACCUCCAAACACGUUCUGACAAACUUGUCCCCUAAACCUUUCUCUACUGGGCCACAAGAAUACACUCUCAGAGUUCACAUUUGAUGAUGUAGCUGGUUUCUAGUUUGCUUGUUGUCAAUGUGUCUUACAUAUCACUAAAUCACUGAAGCACUCC